CAAAAGUUAAACACUUGGGGAACGGACUCGCCUUUCGGGGCUCGAGGCCUGACUCCAUUUGUAACAAACUUUCAACCACUUGUGAAUUUGUAACAAAUUUUCUCACCAAUUGACUGUUAACGAAGUCUGAUUCAAAUUGUAUUGGUGUUUAUAGACACUAGUAAAAUAUGAAACAACUUUUGGCAACGGAUCUCUUGGCUCUCGCAACGAUGAAGAACGCAGCGAAAUGCGAUACGUAGUGUGAAUUGCAGAAUUCCGUGAAUCAUCGAAUCUUUGAACGCAUAUUGCACCUAUUGGUAUUCCGAUAGGUAUGCUUGUUCGAGUCUCAGUUUUCACCUCACACAACCAAUGGUUUUUAAAAGCUGUAAUGGCGCCAAGUGGUUAAUGUGGUAUUGAGUGUAUUCCCACUUGGUAAACGAGAGGGUCACUUGAAAUACUUGGUAGCUUUAUGAGUCCGAUAAUGCUUCGCAUAUUUCGAAAAGCUCAAAGUACCGCUAAGUUUAAGCCUUUACUGGUCACUCUUUAGCUGGGAAAUUUUUGAAAUGGAGUGGUUGUCACUGACUUUAUACCAAACUUGAUAUUGAAUAGCAGUCGUAGUUGCUGUAACUAUUCAAAAUCUUCGAACCCUUGAGCUCGAAUCAAGCAAGAUUACCCGCUGAACUUAAGCAUAUCAAUAAGCGGAGGAGCCAACUUGGUCAUUUAGAGGAAGUAAAAGUCGUAACAAGGUCUCCGUUGGUGAACCAGCGGAGGGAUCAUUACCGAGUUUACAACUCCCAAACCCCUGUGAACAUACCACUUGUUGCCUCGGCGGAUCAGCCCGCUCCCGGUAAAACGGGACGGCCCGCCAGAGGACCCCUAAACUCUGUUUCUAUAUGUAACUUCUGAGUAAAACCAUAAAUAAAUCA
rnacentral:misc_RNA from 1 species